rnacentral:rRNA from 1 species
AUUGAACGCUGGCGGCAGGCCUAACACAUGCAAGUCGAACGGUAACAGGAAGAAGCUUGCUUCUUUGCUGACGAGUGGCGGACGGGUGAGUAAUGUCUGGGAAACUGCCUGAUGGAGGGGGAUAACUACUGGAAACGGUAGCUAAUACCGCAUAACGUCGCAAGACCAAAGAGGGGGACCUUCGGGCCUCUUGCCAUCGGAUGUGCCCAGAUGGGAUUAGCUAGUUGGUGGGGUAACGGCUCACCAAGGCGACGAUCCCUAGCUGGUCUGAGAGGAUGACCAGCCACACUGGAACUGAGACACGGUCCAGACUCCUACGGGAGGCAGCAGUGGGGAAUAUUGCACAAUGGGCGCAAGCCUGAUGCAGCCAUGCCGCGUGUAUGAAGAAGGCCUUCGGGUUGUAAAGUACUUUCAGCGGGGAGGAAGGGAGUAAAGUUAAUACCUUUGCUCAUUGACGUUACCCGCAGAAGAAGCACCGGCUAACUCCGUGCCAGCCGCCGCCGUAA